GAGUCUGUAUGUGGCGGCGCGUAAUCGGUUUCGUCCGACGUGUUCGGUGACCUAAACGAGCUAUUGGCAGUCUUGCUUUACCAAUGAGUAUAGAAACAGAGCUGGAACUGAGUGAAGAAUACUGUAGCUUCGUAUCGGAAGAACAUUGGGGAUUAGUCAUGGGUUUUUAAGUCGAAAAUGUUGUACAUGGGUCUAAUAGCAGAAGCAUGACGUCCUGGAUUUUGGUUUCCCAUUCGUGAGGUAGAGGUUGAUCGAAUGCUCUCGAUAUGACAGUCAGGUCAGCCAAGACGGGUUCAGAGUUGAAGGGACGAACGGACCCAACUUAUUUAAAGUACUAUCUACGGGUUUUCCGGACAGCCGUCAAAAAGGAUAGUCACCCUAUAGGAGUUGUCAGUGUCCUGGAAACGCCGUUCCAGCAUAAAGAUAAAAUAAGUCCGGGGAAGCUGACAGCUGG